UCGCUCUAAAUCGUCUUUCGAUAACAAUAGUUUAUAAAGUUGCUUACAAGUAUGUAUACGUAAAUCUUUUCACUUAUAAAAAUGGCAACAAUUUUAUCAUUGAGAAAUUUGGAUAAUUUUAAAGAACUAUUGUUAUUUACAUUUUUUUUUCUAACUAUAAAGAAAUAAUAUAAUUUGUAAAGUGAUUUUUUAAGCAUCCUCGUCCCAUUUGUAUAGUUGAAUUAUGCAUAAAUUUAAAUUCUGUUUUUUGAAAUUUUUAAAUGCAGUGAACGUCAAUAUAUUUGCGUACCAAGAUUUUUUACCACAUUAAAUAUUAUGGAGUAAUUUUAAGGGGUGUACUGUGACUUGUGGUAGUAACAACAUU